CUACCGCACUCCUACGGGAGGCAGCAGUGGGGAAUAUUGCACAAUGGGCGCAAGCCUGAUGCAGCCAUGCCGCGUGUAUGAAGAAGGCCUUCGGGUUGUAAAGUACUUUCAGCAGUGAGGAAGGUGGGGUAUGUUAAUAGCAUACUCAUUUGACGUUAGCUGCAGAAGAAGCACCGGCUAACUCCGUGCCAGCAGCCGCGGUAAUACGGAGGGUGCGAGCGUUAAUCGGAAUUACUGGGCGUAAAGCGCAUGCAGGUGGUUUGUUAAGUCAGAUGUGAAAGCCCGGGGCUCAACCUCGGAAUUGCAUUUGAAACUGGCAAACUAGAGUACUGUAGAGGGGGUAGAAUUUCAGGUGUAGCGGUGAAAAUGCGUAGAGAUCUGAAGGAAUACCGGUGGCGAAGGCGGCCCCCUGGACAGAUACUGACACUCAGAUGCGAAAGCGUGGGGAGCAAACAGGAUUAGAUACCCUGGUAG
rnacentral:rRNA from 1 species